AUACGGAGGGUGCAAGCGUUAAUCGGAAUUACAGGGCGUAAAGCGUUCGUAGGCGGUUUGUUAAGUUAGAUGUGAAAGCCCCGGGCUCAACCUGGGAACUGCAUUUAAAACUGGCAAACUCGAGUUUAGGAGAGGGAAGUGGAAUUUCAGGUGUAGCAGUGAAAUGCGUAGAGAUCUGAAGGAACACCAGUGGCGAAGGUGACUUCCUGGACUAAAACUGACGCUGAGGAACGAAAGCGUGGGUAGCAAACGGGAUUAGAUACCCCGGUAGUCC
rnacentral:rRNA from 1 species